UAGGGAAUCUUCCACAAUGGACGCAAGUCUGAUGGAGCAACGCCGCGUGAGUGAAGAAGGUUUUCGGAUCGUAAAGCUCUGUUGUUGGUGAAGAAGGAUAGAGGCAGUAACUGGUCUUUAUUUGACGGUAAUCAACCAGAAAGUCACGGCUAACUACGUGCCAGCAGCCGCGGUAAUACGUAGGUGGCAAGCGUUGUCCGGAUUUAUUGGGCGUAAAGCGAGCGCAGGCGGAAUGAUAAGUCUGAUGUGAAAGCCCACGGCUCAACCGUGGAACUGCAUCGGAAACUGUCAUUCUUGAGUGCAGAAGAGGAGAGUGGAACUCCAUGUGUAGCGGUGGAAUGCGUAGAUAUAUGGAAGAACACCAGUGGCGAAGGCGGCUCUCUGGUCUGCAACUGACGCUGAGGCUCGAAAGCAUGGGUAGCGAACAGGAUUAGAUACCCUGGUAGUCCAUGCCGUAAACGAUGAGCGCUAGGUGUUGGGGACUUUCCGGUCCUCAGUGCCGCAGCAAACGCAUUAAGCGCUCCGCCUGGGGAGUACGACCGCAAGGUUGAAA
rnacentral:rRNA from 1 species